AAUGGCUUUUAGGUACGUAGCUUCAUUGACGGUACAAACGAGUUAAAAUUUCCAGCAUUCAUGUCUUUGUUUUCCCUCAAGUAAACGUAGUCAAUACUGCAAAUGGUGUGGAAGUAUUGCACAUUGUGGCGCAAAUGUCCAAAAUUUCCCCAUUGCUUGUAAAUUAAGUUUGGGUGAGAGAGAUGGGAGGAAACAACAGCAAGUGUGAAGUCAAUAGACAAUUGAUAGUCUU
rnacentral:lncRNA from 1 species